rnacentral:lncRNA from 1 species
AUAAGCUCUGUGAAGAAAUUAAGGAAGCAAGAAUAAAGAGAGGCUUAUCAGUGACAGCAGAACAAGUAACUCCUCAUGGCGCUGGUGCCCGCAAGUCGGAGACGAGAGUGGAAGAGGCAUUUCGGCACAAACAGAGAAACCCAAUGGAUGCUUGGCACAACUCUGCAAAUAAGUUUCGAGUUCGGAGAAAAUCAAGGCGACGAUCACAGUGGGGUAAAGGAAUUAUUAAGAAAAGGAAAGUGAAUAAU